rnacentral:rRNA from 1 species
AUUGAACGCUGGCGGCAUGCCUUACACAUGCGAGUCGAACGGCAGCGGACCUUCGGGUGCCGGCGAGUGGCGACCGGGUGAGUAAUGCAGCGGAACGCACCUUUCAGUGGGGGAUAACGUAGCGAAAGCUACGCGAAUACAGCAUCUUCUGUGGGCAGGAAAGCAGGGGAUCGCAAGACCUUGCGCUGAUUGAGCGGCCGAUGUGAGUUUAGCCAGUUGGUUGGGUAAGGCUCACCAAGGCGACGAUCUGUAGCGGGUCUGAGAGGAUGAGCCGCCACACUGGAACUGAGACACGGUCCAGACUCCUACGGGAGGCAGCAGUGGGGAAUUUUGGACAAUGGGGGCAACCCUGAUCCAGCCAUGCCGCGUGAGUGAAGAAGGCCUUCGGGUUGUAAAGCUCUUUCGGCCGGGAAGAAAUCGCACGGGCUAAUACCCUGUGUGGAUGACGGUACCGGAAUAAGAAGCACCGGCUAACUACGUGCCAGCCGCCGCGGUAA